rnacentral:rRNA from 1 species
AGCGAACGCUGGCGGCAGGCUUAACACAUGCAAGUCGAGCGGGCAUCCUUGUGGUGUCAGCGGCAGACGGGUGAGUAACGCGUGGGAACGCGCCCUUCGGUUCGGAAUAACUCAGGGAAACUUGAGCUAAUACCGGAUACGUGCGAGAGCAGAAAGGUUUAUCUGCCGAAGGAUCGGCCCGCGUCUGAUUAGCUAGUUGGUGAGGUUAUGGCUCACCAAGGCGACGAUCAGUAGCUGGUCGGAGAGGAUGAUCAGCCACACUGGGACUGAGACACGGCCCAGACUCCUACGGGAGGCAGCAGUGGGGAAUAUUGGACAAGGGGGGCAACCCUGAUCCAGCCAUGCCGCGUGAGUGAUGACGGCCUUAGGGUUGUAAAGCUCUUUUCUCCGGGACGAUAAUGACGGUACCGGAGGAAUAAGCCCCGGCUAACUUCGUG